rnacentral:sRNA from 1 species
GCGUAGAGGAUAGAACACUACCCUGUGG